UACGUAGGCAGCAAGCGUUGUUCGGAGUUACUGGGCGUAAAGGGUGUGUAGGCGGUUGGAUAAGCGUGGUGUGAAAUCUCCCGGCUCAACUGGGAGGGUGCGCCGAAUACUGAAAGACUAGAGUGCGGGAGAGGAAAGUGGAAUUCCUGGUGUAGCGGUGAAAUGCGUAGAUAUCAGGAGGAACACCGGUGGUGUAGACGGCUUUCUGGACCGUAACUGACGCUGAGACACGAAAGCGUGGGUAGCAAACAGG
rnacentral:rRNA from 1 species